GGAAAACUGUAGCUCAGUGGUAAUAGCGUCACCAUUGCAUACAGAAGGUUCUAAGUUCAAUUCCUAGCAUUCCCA